rnacentral:rRNA from 1 species
CGCGGCCUAUCAGCUUGUUGGUGGGGUAGUGGCUUACCAAGGCUUUGACGGGUAGCCGGCCUGAGAGGGUGACCGGCCACAUUGGGACUGAGAUACGGCCCAGACUCCUACGGGAGGCAGCAGUGGGGAAUAUUGCACAAUGGGCGGAAGCCUGAUGCAGCAACGCCGCGUGCGGGAUGACGGCCUUCGGGUUGUAAACCGCUUUCGCCUGUGACGAAGCGUGAGUGACGGUAAUGGGUAAAGAAGCACCGGCUAACUACGUGCCAGCAGCCGCGGUGAUACGUAGGGUGCGAGCGUUGUCCGGAUUUAUUGGGCGUAAAGGGCUCGUAGGUGGUUGAUCGCGUCGGAAGUGUAAUCUUGGGGCUUAACCCUGAGCGUGCUUUCGAUACGGGUUGACUUGAGGAAGGUAGGGGAGAAUGGAAUUCCUGGCGGAGCGGUGGAAUGCGCAGAUAUCAGGAGGAACACCAGUGGCGAAGGCGGUUCUCUGGGCCUUUCCUGACGCUGAGGAGCGAAAGCGUGGGGAGCGAACAGGCUUAGAUACCCUGGUAGUCCACGCUGUAAACGGUGGGUACUAGGUGUGGGGUCCAUUCCACGGGUUCCGUGCCGUAGCUAACGCUUUAAGUACCCCGCCUGGGGAGUACGG